CAGUCGCCGCGGUAAUACGAAGGGAGCUAGCGUUGUUCGGAUUUACUGGGCGUAAAGGGCGCGUAGGCGGACUGAUAAGUCAGGGGUGAAAUCCCAAGGCUCAACCUUGGAACUGCCUUUGAUACUGUUUGUCUUGAGUUCGAGAGAGGUAAGUGGAACUGCGAGUGUAGGGGUGAAAUUCGUAGAUAUUCGCAAGAAUACCAGUGGCGAAGGCAGCUUACUGGCUCGAAACUGACGCUGAGGCGCGAAAGCGUGGGGAGCAAACAGGAUUAGAUACCCCCGUAGUCCCUGUCUCUUAUAC
rnacentral:rRNA from 1 species